UGGACCAACAACAACAGAGUGGCAUGAACAAAGGAUGGUGAUUAAUCCCUAAUCCAGUUCUGUGUACCUGAGGUCCAGG
rnacentral:snoRNA from 1 species